UGUCAACUUUUGUUUGUUGUUUUUGAAGUUCGCUAGUGUUGAAAUCUGCACAGCAACAAGCGCCAUGAUUGCGUUUGCGGAGUGCCCUAGUAACUGGCGCGCGCGGUUUCUAUCCAAUAAAAGAGCGCGUGAUGUGUUCGCAGUUAUGCGGUGGAACUGUUUUUCCCAACAUCCCUACUUUUCAUGGGAUUAUUGCAUUAUUAUAGAAACUAUUUAUUGUGACUUACCUCACGUUCUUGACCUUUGGGUGACUAGUAAGCUGAUGUCGAGGUAAAUGGACCAAAUGAAGGUGUGAAGUGAACAUCUUUAUAUUGCUCUAAAUGGAAACCUGGAACAUUGGCAGAUGUCAGUGUCCAAUUUCAAGCACAUUGCUAUUCUACAGUGAUGGGUGGAUAUGAUUGCAGAAGUGCUCAAAAUCUUUUGCACUGUUUGGUCAGUUCUGGUAAUAUGGUACCUGUUCUGAGAAAAAUGUGGUAAUCACAGCAUUCUUACACAACCUUUCUUUCUCUCACUGAUGAAGCCACCGUUAUCAGGUAAGUGCGCAGCAUUGAAAUUCAAAGCUUUAUUUUAUUGGAUUAGAUUUAAUAAAUGAUGAUGAUAACUUCAGAAAGCCAAUGACUUUUAAAAACUCGAGCUUCAAAUUUCUCCUAAAUUUAUUUGAAUAUUCAAAACAAACCUGCAAGUAGAUUCAAAUCAGCCGAGACAUGCAUUUUUAAAGAACUAAAUGAGUAAGCUGAGCAACAAAGUACGCUUUUGUCCUAAAUCAUCUUUGAAAUGACUCUUACGUAGCGAGUGUAAGAAAUAAUUGACAUGACUCGUGUGCAAAGUGCAAAAUGAGUGGGCUAUUAAUAACAAUCAUUUCAGGCAUGACUAACUUGCAAUAUUUAUCAUGUUCUAUUUCUGAUGCUAGUUGUUUUUGUAAACCCUCCCCCCCUCCAGGUUUCUGUUCCAUUCAGCGUGUGCUCGUAUGCUUUUGUACCAGGUGAGCCCACACUGACAAUAAACUUUUGGAGUCACACAAGCGAGAGGACAGUGAAGCAUCUGCUGUCUAUAAGGCUAAAAUUACAGGUUAUGAAAAGAGGACUUCUGGGAGAACAAAAAAAUAAAAAGUGUUCGUGGACAAAAGCUUGUAGCCUCCCACAUUAUAAUAUUUACUAAUGUUGUUUGCUCUGUCUGUAUGCCUUUCACCUUUUUUUUCUCUUUUGUACUUCAUGAGGAUAUAGAUUUUAAUUGGCAUUUCUAUAUAUUUAUGCACUGCAAAUUCACAUUUCCUAAACUCUAUUUCUUUUAUAGGUAAUAAGGUUAAAUCAGUGGUGUACUUACAGAGUUUGUCACAGCUCAGUGUCAUGCCGUGUGCUUUACAUUCCUUUCCUGGUGAAAACAAAAAUAAAGACAUAUUCAUGAAGCACAAGUUUAGGCUUUUUUGAUUAUUUUUGCGUUAGACAUACAGUGCUCAGCAUAAUUGAGUACACCCCAUUUUAAAAUGAAUAUUUUUAUCCAUUUCUCAGUGAAUUUGGCAAUGUAUUUUGGUGCAUUUAAACAAAACAGAUUUAUUAAAAUAAUAUUUUAGUCAC